UUUCCUGAUCUCUGUCCCACAUGACUGCUUUUCCAGGAUCUGCAGAGGAGUGUCUGACUUUCUCAUCCCUUCUAGGCAACACUCUGGUUGCUUCUGCAAGAGUAAGAAGUGUCUACAGAGGGGUGCAGCAAUCCAAGGUUUCUACUCACUGACUCACAGAAGUGCUAGUCCGUACAAGCCUUGCUGGUCGCAAAUUUUCAAAUACUGUUUCAGUGAAAAUCACCUUCCAGGUAAAAGGGAGUUAAAUGCAUUGCCAAUUCUUGAAGCAUUAAUUUACAAAAGACUGGAAAAACUCCAAAUACUUCUUGGCAAUGAGGCGUUGUCCUCUUCACUAAGAGGAAGUUGUGGAGGCAGCACUUGUAUACUUGUGCAUAUAUGGAUCUAUCUUACCUCAAGGUGACUAUGGUUCUGUCUACCUUAGUAAGUAGCACAGUGCAGUAACAAUUGAUUUGUGGAGCCGAACAGUGCUGAAGACCCAGUGUCUACACUAUAUGCUUUUUUUUUUAAGGCGGCUAAUUUGGACUGGCUCUAGUCAGGUCCCAUAGACUGAUUGCCCUUUAGCAGCUGGAGCACCCAACGUGACCUUACCAAGCAGGAAAGGAAAAUUUUUCACAGUGAGGACAGUCAACCAUUGCAAUAAUCUCCCCAUGGAACUGGUUGACUCCGCCACACCGGACACUGUUAAGAUUUGGCUGGCCAGGGUGCUGGGCCAUCUUGUCUAGACUGUGCUCUUCCUAGAAAGGUUGGACUAGAUGAUGCCUGAGGUCCCUUCCAACCUGAGAUUCUGUGAUUCUGUAAAGCACAUCUUCCAAUUUUGUUUUGUCCCUGAGAAAUUCAAUCCAUGUGUUCUGAGGCUGUUCUGCAACACGAACCCAAGUGCUGAAUGUGGGAAAUAUUGGGACACUGUCUGAAAAGCACCUUCCUGAUUUUAACAGGAAUGCUAAUUAGGCACCCUCCCUCAACUACACUGAGGUAAAAUCAUAAUGCAGUAUUGAUGCUUCCUUUUUAUUCCAAGGCACAUUCAUCAAGGUCAUCACAGGAGCAUUGGGUGGAAUUGCUGUUUGUGAUUAAUGCCAAGGGCUUCGUUGUCUUCUGUUCUGCCAUCUUUCAGCCCAGAUGAAAUGUUCUUUAAAGAUGUAUUAAAGGCUUUAUGCUUUCUA